rnacentral:rRNA from 1 species
CCCUUAGAUGUUCUGGGCUGCACGCGCGCUACACUGUCGGAUUCAGCGAGUCAUAUCCUUAACCGAAAGGUUUGGGUAAUCUUUUGAAAGUCCGACGUGAUGGGGAUUGAUCAUUGCAAUUAUUGAUCAUGAACGAGGAAUUCCUAGUAAGCGCGAGUCAUCAGCUCGCGUUGAUUACGUCCCUGCCCUUUGUACACACCGCCCGUCGCUACUACCGAUUGAAUGGUUUAGUGAGAUCUUCGGAUUGGCGCCUACGCGGCUUCUCUGAGGCCACGCUGGAUGCCGAAAAGUUGCUCAAACUGUAUCAUUUAGAGGAAGUAAAAGUGGUAACA